UGUCCUACGGGAGGCAGCAGUGAGGAAUAUUGGUCAAUGGGAGAGAUCCUGAACCAGCCAAGCCGCGUGAGGGAAGACGGCCCUAUGGGUUGUAAACCUUUUUUGUCGGAGAACAAAACCCGGGACGAGUCCCGGACUGCGUGUAUCCGAAGAAAAAGCAUCGGCUAACUCCGUGCCAGCAGCCGCGGUAAUACGGAGGAUGCGAGCGUUAUCCGGAUUUAUUGGGUUUAAAGGGUGCGUAGGCGGGCUGUUAAGUCAGCGGUCAAAUGUCGGGGCUCAACCCCGGCCUGUCGUUGAAACUGGCG
rnacentral:rRNA from 1 species